GCCGCCCCUCUCUCUGCUCUCUCUCCAUCGGGCCAUGCGCGGACCUCAUCUCGUUCGUCUCAGAUCGACGACGCCAUGGAGAUACGGCGCCGUUCGUGGUGCAAGCCCUCGUGGAAGGAUCCCGAAGGCCGUGUAAUCUCCAACACCACUCGCGACGCCGCCGUCUCUCAGCUCAAGUCCCUCCGUGACGACAUCGUCUCCGGCGAGGCCAAGUUCGAUGUCAUCGCCUCCCACUACUCCGAUUGCAGCUCCGCCAAGCGCGGCGGCGAUAUUGGUUUUGGCUUCCCCGGAGAAGCUGUUUCCGCGGGAUGCGGAUGAGGAAGCGCACGGCGGAGUUGACGGCAUGACGAAAUUGACGUAUUUGAAUGAGCCUGGGGUUCUUUACAACUUUUAUAAGUGAUACGCCCUCAAUGACAUACAUACAUACACAGGAAGUGUUUUGAUUGCUGUAAAUCCAUUCACACAGCUUCCUCAUUUAUACAAUGCGCAUAUGAUGGAGCAGUAUAAGGGAGCUCCGUUCGGUGCGCUGAGUCCUCAUGUCUUUGCCGUAGCUGAUGCGUCGUAUAGGGCGAUGAUGAAUGAUGAUCGAAGCCAAUCUAUACUGGUCAGUGGAGAAAGUGGGGCUGGAAAAACUGAAACUACCAAACUGUUCAUGCAGUAUCUUACUUGUGUAGGAGGCCGAGCUGCUGGUGAUGACAGAACUGUCGAGCAACAAGUUCUUGAAGUAAGUUAUUCCCAACUUAAUCCACUUGAUGUGUCCCAACAGUUUGAAAAGAUUCAACUCAAUUAGUAUUAGUCAUUAGAAGAGAAAUCCCAAAUUUUUUAAAUAAAAAAAAGAACAUAAGUUUUCAGGAAGCAAGCUAGAUAAUCACAA